UACGUAGGGUGCGAGCGUUAAUCGGAAUUACUGGGCGUAAAGCGUGCGCAGGCGGGCUUUUAAGCCAGACGUGAAAUCCCCGGGCUUAACCUGGGAACGGCGUUUGGGACUGGGAGUCUGGAGUGCGGCAGAGGAGACUGGAAUUCCUGGUGUAGCAGUGAAAUGCGUAGAUAUCAGGAGGAAUACCGAUGGCGAAGGCAGGUCUCUGGGCUGACACUGACGCUCAUGCACGAAAGCGUGGGGAGCAAACAGG
rnacentral:rRNA from 1 species